GUACUUGCUCAAGGUCGCAGAGAUAAGAACUACAAAGGCAGGAUUCAAAUCAAAGUUUAUCUGACUCAGAAGACUGGACUUUUAACCACUAUGCUUGGUUUAUGCAAAAACUCCAGGAUUACCUCAUUAGAUUACCUUAUUUGCUUCCAGCAAAACGCUGCCUUUAAGUAUCACUUUAUCAGGUGCACUUUCACUAAGGCUACUGCACUGAGAGAGAGCUUAGUAUGCAUCCAGAAGCUCAGCUACUAUUCUUAUUACAGGUGCUCUGUCGCUAAGUCAUGUCCAACUCUUUGCAACCCCACGGACUGUAGCCAGCAAGGCUCCUCUGAUGGGAUUUCCCAGGAAGGAGCGGGAGACAACAGUAUACAGAGAACAAGGAAUAAAGUCCUAGAGGCAGCUCCAGACAAGACGACUUUUAGACGGAAGACUAAAGGAAAGGCUCGUCUCUCUGACUUAUGGAGAUGUCUGUCAUCUACCUGGAUACACCUGCCGGCUCCUACUACAGCCAAAGACAAGCUUAAGGAAACGUAGAGUUCCUGUGACUCACGAGCUUUCAUAUGGGCUGUAAGUGUGCCAACUUGGGAGAUUUUCCCUUUUGUUUUGUUUUUAAAGAGCUAUUUGGUAACAGCCUACAGAAACACCAGCUGUCCUCAUUUCACCAAUGGGUUGUAUUCAAAUUCAGUUGUAAGCCAGUUAUGUGGAAUUCAGAGAACAGUCCUAUUUACAGGGCCAGUUUAGUCUACUAAGCUUAACAGUUAUUAGCAGUAUUAAAUAUUCUUUAUAUUAUGUUCAAUCCCUAGAUACUACUGUGUAUACAGAAUACAUAGCAAUACCCUAUC